GUCCACGCCGUAAACUAUGGAGGCUAGCCGUUGGACAGCUUGCUGUUCAGUGGCGCAGCUAACGCAUUAAGCCUCCCGCCUGGGGAGUACGGUCGCAAGAUUAAAACUCAAAGGAAUUGACGGGGGCCCGCACAAGCGGUGGAGCAUGUGGUUCAAUUCGAAGCAACGCGAAGAACCUUACCAGCCCUUGACAUGUCCCGUAUGAGAUCCAGAGAAGGAUCUCUUCAGUUCGGCUGGCGGGAACACAGGUGCUGCAUGGCUGUCGU
rnacentral:rRNA from 1 species